GACAAUGUUUUGUUUUGACGAACUCGUUUCUCUCCGUGUGAAGUGCUGUUUCUUGUCUUUUUUAUUUUCGCUCAUUGCGUAGUUGUUAUGCUAACAUGAUUCCCUAUUGUUUUGCGAGUGACGAAAGGCUAUUAUAGUAAAUACGUCGUAGAUAGUGAUUAAAUAAUUCACAGACUCGAAGCGGUGAUAGUACGGAUCGUGCGAGAUGGUAAUACUAUUCUAUUGUGUUGAGUUGAAAAAAAUGUCACGGAAGUCGAUUGAAUUGGAAGAUAUCUCAAAGGGUUGAUAAAACAGACCUUGCCAGUUGGCAUCUCAGGCCUAACAAUAAGAAAUAAACUGCAACAACAUUGAUAGGUGUUAAUAUUUAUCUGGAUUGACAGACUGUGCAAAUAAAUUUUGGAAUACAUUAUGCGAUAACUGAAUACAAUAAUUUGUUGCAGAAGAAUAACAGAAAUGAACUCCAGCUAUAGUGAACGAGGUUAGUGAAUAUCUGAGCAGAGUGACCCUAACAAAUGAUGGAAAAAAGAAUGUAUUAGUUGAUCGGGUAACAGCGUUGUGGGAGAAAAGAAAGAGAAACAGCCUAUCUUGCAGCACUUAUCAAUGAUUUGAAGUAACUUGAUCAAUCGAUCUCUGAGAAUAAAGUGAAAACCGUACCAAUCACCGCAGUAAAAGUUUGAAAAGUACGUCGUUUCACCAUUCAAAUGAGGCAAAUGCAACGAGAACUACUACAUUUGAAGUACGGAGCAACCUGGAGGAGAAUUAAGCAGAGAUAUCCGGGUAACUUCUCCAUUGCUCGGCAACGUUGGUGAGUUUGCAUGUGUUUGGGCUACGGGUAUUUUCCUGGUCUCCUCUGUCAUGUGGCGUGACGGUAACGAUUGUGAUAAAAAUCUUCGAUUUCUUCGGUUAUAUGGAUAGGUUCAUUCGUGAUCGCAACAGUGCUUGACUUCCAGUCGAAUUUUUUGUUUGCAGAUUACCUAUUUUACCAUAGAUUACUUACAGUAACCAUCACUUACUCGGCAUUCGCGAAAACGAAUUGUGUUUAGCUAAUGAUAUGAUAAUCUACGUUUGAAUUUACCCAUGAUGUCGUCUAAGUGGUGGAUUCAUCUGAGAUUUGAACACAUUCCAACGAUUGUUGGAACCCUAUUCGCGUGAUUGUUAUCAAAUUGCACGUUACAUCUUGAGCUAUUUUCAAUUUUUCAACAGCCAGCAAGUAUCGAUCGCUCGCAGGUUUAGUUCACCUAGAAAAAUGCUAAAUAGCAUACACCAUGUUUUGAAUCCAUUUUACGAAAGGUUGAUGUACUGUUGGCUUGCCAGUAUUCACCAUAAUAAUACGCGCAAUAAUAGGGUAGGCCAUCCAUGUCUUCCUACCGACUGCGUGUACUAUGAGCUAGACUCAGGUCAGCUAAGGUAGAUAUGGCACCUAGACUGCAGAAUGUACACUCGACGAUCACUUUAUUGAAAUCAGACAAAGUAAGUCACAGUGGCCACGGUGCA
rnacentral:lncRNA from 1 species